GACGAACGCUGGCGGCGUGCUUAACACAUGCAAGUCGAACGGAAAGGCCCUGCUUUUGUGGGGUGCUCGAGUGGCGAACGGGUGAGUAACACGUGAGUAACCUGCCCUUGACUUUGGGAUAACUUCAGGAAACUGGGGCUAAUACCGGAUAGGAGCUCCUGCUGCAUGGUGGGGGUUGGAAAGUUUCGGCGGUUGGGGAUGGACUCGCGGCUUAUCAGCUUGUUGGUGGGGUAGUGGCUUACCAAGGCUUUGACGGGUAGCCGGCCUGAGAGGGUGACCGGCAACAUUGGGACUGUGAUACGGCCCAGACUCCUACGGGAGGCAGCAGUGGGGAAUAUUGCACAAUGGGCGGAAGCCUGAUGCAGCAACGCCGCGUGCGGGAUGACGGCCUUCGGGUUGUAACCCGCUUUCGCCUGUGACGAAGCGUGAGUGACGGUAAUGGGUAAAGAAGCACCGGCUAACUACGUG
rnacentral:rRNA from 1 species